ensembl:lncRNA
AUUUGGAAUUAUCAAACCAUGAAUUUAAAACAACUAUGAUUAAGAUGCUAAGAGCUUUAACGGAUAAUGUAAACAGCAUGUAAGACCAAAUGGGCAAUGUAAAUAGAAAUUCUAAGAAAGAACUGAAAUGAAACGCUGGAGAUCAAAAACACAUGAGAGAAAUGAAGAAUGCCUUUGAUGGGCUUGUUAGUAGAUUGGAUAUGGCUGAGAAAAGAAUCUCUGUGCUUAAAGAUCUCAAUAGAAAGCAGCCAAACUUAAAAGCAAAGAGAACAAAAGAUUAAAAAAAAAAACAGAACAGGAUAUCCAAGAAUUGUGGGGCUACUACCAAAGGUAUGACAUGCAAGUAAUGGGAAUUAUGAAAGGAGAAGAAAGAGGGAAGAAACAUGUAAAUCAACAAUGACUGAGAACUUCCCCCAGAUGAACGUCAGACACCAAGUUACAGAUCCAGGAAGCUCAGAGAACAAUAAACAUGGUAGAAUGCCCCUACACCUACCUACAUCUAGAUGUAUCAUUUUCAGACAAACUACAGAAAAAUCAAAGAGAAAGAAAAAAUCGUGAAAGAAGUCAAAGGAAAAAAAAAACACACAAUACCUCUCGAGGAGCAAAGAUAAGAAUGACAUCCAACUUUUCAAAAACUAUGCAAGCAAGAGAGAGACGUGAAAGAUACGAAGUGUUGAGAGGAAAGCCCCACCAGUCUACAGUUCUGUAUCCUGUGAAAUUAUCUUUCAGAAGUGAAGAGGAGAUAAAGACUUUCUCAGUCAAACAAAAAUUGAGGGAAUUUGUUGCCGGUAGACCUGCCUUGCAAGAAAUGUUAGAAGUUCUUCAGAGAGAAGGACAAUGAUAUAGGUCAGCCACUCACAUCUACAUGAAGAAAGAAGAGCAUCAGAGAAGGAAGAGGCCAAGAAGAAAAUCUGGACACAGAGAUGGAUGCUCAGGAAAGAAGGCCCAUGAUGACGAGGCAGAGACUGGAGCGACACAGCCACAUGCCAAGCAACGCUGAGGAUUGUGAGCAACCGUCAGAAGCCAGAAGAGGCACGGGAGGGUCCUUCCCAGAUGCUUUGGAGGAAGUGUGGUGGUGCCUACAUUUUGAUUUCAG